rnacentral:rRNA from 1 species
AGUGAACGCUGGCGGUAGGCCUAACACAUGCAAGUCGAACGGCAGCACAGUAAGAGCUUGCUCUUACGGGUGGCGAGUGGCGGACGGGUGAGGAAUACAUCGGAAUCUACUUUUUCGUGGGGGAUAACGUAGGGAAACUUACGCUAAUACCGCUUACGACCUACGGGUGAAAGCAGGGGAUCUUCGGACCUUGCGCGAUUGAAUGAGCCGAUGUCGGAUUAGCUAGUUGGCGGGGUAAAGGCCCACCAAGGCGACGAUCCGUAGCUGGUCUGAGAGGAUGAUCAGCCACACUGGAGCUGAGACACGGUCAAGGCUCCUGCGGGAGGCAGCAGUGGGGAAUAUUGGACAAUAGGCGCAAGCCUGAUCCAGCCAUACCGCGUGGGUGAAGAAGGCCUUCGGGUUGUAAAGCCCUUUUGUUGGGAAAGAAAAGCAGCAGGUUAAUACCCCGCUGUUCUGACGGUACCCAAAGAAUAAGCACCGGCUAACUUCGUG